rnacentral:rRNA from 1 species
UACGAAGGGGGCUAGCGUUGCUCGGAAUGACUGGGCGUAAAGGGCGCGUAGGGCGGGCUUGGCCAACCGAUCGAUGACAGUAGUUGGUGAAAAAUUUCCCCCGGGUCGGGUUAACCCUUUAACCGGGGGUCGGGGGUCUGCCAAUUUUUUGGAAUUAACCGGUUGUUUGGGUCCUUUAAGGAGGUCGGGAAAGGGAAAGGGGUACGGGGUUUGGGUGGAAAAUUUUCCCC